rnacentral:misc_RNA from 1 species
GAGAAAGAAAUUAGUCGGUAAUGGUGCAGUCACCAUGAACCAGUCUUCUUUAGACAACAGGAUUAGAGACGUGGUUUUACUAGAUACAACUUUGGAGAGUUCUCUUGACUGGACGAAAUAUCCCUACGGCCCCCAAGCAAGAACUCCAGGGUGGGUGGAGGAAAGUUUCACGAAUUUCGAGCAAGGGAUCAAUUGGAGAUCGUUUGUUGUUUGUGAUGUCGCCUACACAAACGUUAAUAACUGGUUAUGGACGCCUUUUAUUGAGCGUGGCGACGCCAGUCGGAUGUACAUCGAGAUCAAAUUCAGCAUGCGUGACUGCAACCUCUUUCCAGGCAUGGCUUUAUCAUGUAAGGAAACGUUUUCUUUACUUUAUUACGAGUUUGAUGCUGCAACUAAAGAACCGCCACCAUGGGAGCCCGAGUCCUACAAACUCGUCGAUCGUAUUGCGGCCGAUGAGGGGCGCUUUACAUCUUCUAAUGAAGUCAUAAUCAACACUGAAGUCCGAAGCAUUCCCGUUACCAAAAAGGGUGUCUACUUUGCUUUCCGCGACCAGGGAGCAUGCUUAUCGCUAAUCGCCAUUAAAGUUUACUAUGUUACUUGUCCUAACAUGACAAGGAGUUUUGCUUUUUUUCCGGAUACCUCUACCAGUGAACAGGUAACGGAAAUCGUUGAAGUGGAGGGGCAGUGUGUUCCAAAUGCAGAAGUCGUAGAAGCUCCUAAGAUGCUUUGUAAAGGAGACGGAAAUUGGACACUGCUUUCUGGAGGCUGCAAAUGCAUGCCGGGAUAUGAAGCUGUUGGCCAGACCUGUGAAGUUUGUCCAAAAGCGACAUUCAAGUCAACAAUAGGAGACGAAAAGUGCGCCACUUGCCCAGCCCGUAGCAGCGCCCCCUAUAAGGGAUCAAUGGAAUGUCGUUGUGACGAAAAUUACUUCAGAGCACUGAAAGAUCCAAAACACAUGCCCUGUACUCAGCCACCAUCAGCGCCUCGGAAUUUAACCGUCAACUUCGUAGAUCAGUCAACAGUCAUCUUGUCUUGGCAGGCACCAAGUUACGUAGGUGGACGGACAGACACGAGCUACAGGGUUACAUGUGAUGCAUGUGGAAAUGCCGUUUCUUAUGUUCCUGCUCAGGAAGGAUUCAACGACACAAAAGUCACAAUCUCUGGUUUGAAUCCAGUAACCACUUACAGACUUCAGAUUUUUGCGGAAAAUGGUGUAUCAGAUUUUAGUGAUAGCCACUAUGUUGACAUAACGGUUACUACUGAGGCGUCUGUGCCCUCUGUCGUAGCAAAUGUGCGCAUUGUAUCUGUAAAAAAUUCUGAAAUUGUGUUAGCCUGGAAACCUCCGGUAGAUCCUUUCACUAACAUUGAAAUGUAUGAAGUAAGAUACUUCCCCCGAGGCAACGAAAAUAACGCCACAGCAAUUUUGACGAAGAAGGAAAAAUCUACUUUUGCUAAUUUAAAACAAAGAACUGAAUAUGGCUUCCAGGUGAGAGCCAAGACAGCCCACGGGUGGGGAGAAUUCAGUAAAACCAUUUUUGAAUCAACUGGACCGAUUAUCGACAGUACAGCUUAUAUUGACAAUGAAGAUAAAGUUCAAGUUCGAAUUAUUGCUGGUGCCACAGUUGCUGUCGUUGUCCUUGUUGUUGUUGUCAUCGUUAUGAUUGUUCUGUAUAUCAGGAGAAGCUCUGAAGAAUGUAACAAAAAACAGCCCAGUGAUUGUGAUACUCUUGAAUACAGAAAUGGGGAAGGUAACAAAUGUAAGGUAGUACCUGCCUUGGAACACCCUCCUAUUGUCCCAACUGCUCGUAUUACUACUCCUUUGUUCACCCACUGUGGAGCAACAAGGAGCUACAUUGAUCCACACACUUAUGAAGACCCCAACCAAGCUGUAAGAGAAUUUGCUAAAGAAAUUGAUGCUCUGCACAUAACUAUUGAAGCUAUUAUUGGUGGAGGUGAGUUUGGAGAUGUAUGUAAAGGUAAACUAAAAGUUCCAGGACGACCAGAGAUUACUGUGGCUAUCAAAACCCUUAAACCAGGCUCCUCAGACAAAGCUCGCAUGGACUUCCUCACAGAGGCUAGCAUUAUGGGGCAGUUUGAUCACCCCAAUGUUAUCUACCUACAAGGUGUAGUCACAAAAAGUAACCCAGUCAUGAUCAUCACAGAAUUUAUGGAAAAUGGAUCUUUGGAUACCUUCUUGCGAGCAAAUGAUGGAAAAUUCCAGGUUAUUCAACUUGUCGGGAUGUUACGAGGAAUUGCAGUAGGAAUGCAGUAUUUGUCUGAAAUGAGUUAUGUACACAGGGAUCUUGCUGCUCGUAACGUUUUGGUGAAUUCGAGUUUAGUUUGUAAGAUAGCUGAUUUUGGUCUCUCUAGAGAAAUAGAAAGUGCAACAGAAGGAGCAUACACCACAAGGGGAGGAAAGAUCCCAGUGAGAUGGACAGCCCCUGAGGCCAUUGCCUUCAGAAAGUUUACAUCAGCUAGUGAUGUCUGGAGUUUUGGUAUUGUCUGUUGGGAAGUGAUGUCAUAUGGAGAACGACCAUAUUGGAAUUGGCCUAACCAAGAUGUUAUCAAGAGUAUUGAGAAAGGUUACAGACUCCCCCCACCUAUGGAUUGUCCAGAAGCUUUGUAUCAGCUUAUGCUAGACUGUUGGCAGAAAGAUCGAUCACAUAGGCUGACUUUUGCAACAAUUGUAAAGACCCUCGACAAACUGCUCAAGUGCCCUGAAAGCCUUCGGAAAAUUGCACAAAACAGACAAAAUCCACUGGACCCCAAUGCUCCUGAUAUGACUCAAUAUAAGACAGUUGAAGAGUGGUUAAACAGCAUCAAAAUGAUAAGAUACCUUGAGAACUUCCAGCAGGCAGAAAUUACUUCGAUGGAGUCUGUAGCAAGACUUACUCUUGCUGAUAUUACUUCUCUUGGUGUAACACUUGUAGGCCAUCAAAAAAAGAUGAUUGGUAGCAUCCAGACUCUUAGGGUUCAACUUAGUGCCAACUCAUCUGAAGGACUUCUUGUUUAGAGAAGUAAAUGUUGCAAGUACUUGACCUGUCACUUGAGUUUAUUUCUAUCUUUGAGAAAAAGCCUUGUGGACUUACUGUUCCACUUGCUGCCAUUGUUUUUGAUGUGGCAAAACUGAGUUAGUGCUUGCUCCCACUCAAAGACUAAAGCAACUGUGAUGAACUUAAGGGGAAAAAAAAUGAUUCCAUCUGUGUAGCUAAAACAUAUGCAAAGAAAACUUGAUUUAUUGAAUCUGUAUUAAAAAAACAAAAACGAAGAACAUGAGUGAUGUAAGAAAAAGUUCUCUUUAGUACAGCAGGAAAAGGUUGUUCUCAAAGAAUUAUCUAACUAUGGAUUCCACCAAAUUCAUUAUGAAUGCUAUCUUGUAGUGCUACAAAUCUGGAUCUCACCUACAGCUUACACCAGAAUUUUAAACAAAUCAGCUCAACUUUUCUUGACGAAAAAGGUCUAAACUUGAAAGACAUACAAGGCUAGACAUAUCAGACUGUAUUAUAAAAACUUAGCAUUUCCCACAGCUUACCAGUAUAGAACAUGUAGAAUAAACAAGAUAUCCUCCAGACUUGGAGUGUGCAUCAAGACAGUCUAUUGCAGCCAGAAUUA